UGCUCAGCACCACUGCCCCUUUACUACCAAGGCAACCGUGGACGACUUAAGACCAUGUUUAUUUUUAAAAAAUAAUAAAUAGAUAAAUAAGGGUGAAAAAGAACCCAAGAAUUUUAUUGUUAUGUUAAUUUAAAGUUUUUGAACAAUGGAUUUCUGGCAAAGAGCUGAUGGACACUCUUCCUAGAAUUCUAGAAGUGGAUUUCCUGGGGGCCAGUUUCAGGGUUCACAUGGGAAGCUCCUGAAUUUGCAAACCAACAAUUAUUCAUGUAAGGAAGUAAUGGACUUUUUUGGAGAAUUACAGAUUGGCAUAGAUGAGGUAAUGUCUUAGCAGAUUUUGA
rnacentral:lncRNA from 1 species